GCUCACUUAGGAGUCCCGGAGCCGCGCCGCUGAGAGAGCUGCCUUCCAGGCGCGGUUGGUGGAGGAGUGGCCCUGCGCUUUCCCCGGGCUUCUUGUCCGGCCGCUGCCGCCUUCGCAGCGGAGGCCGGGAGGGGAAUGCAGGUUGUGACAUCAACAGCUGGGUGCCCACCUGUACCCAUCCCCCUCAGUCUCCGUCCGGCGGGACUCCAUUUCUCACCGCUUCAAUCAAAUAUAUUGGGUUUUUCAGGAAUUUUUCCUCAAAAAAUAUCGUUGUCUAAUGUAAAAGAAAGACUAGUGGAAGCAGAGCAGGAAAGCUAAUUUUAGCUUCAGAUUUCCUGGGAGGAGAAAGAGCACUUGACAGGAGGCACACCAAAAAGCAGUAGUCCAGCUCAAAGAAUCUGAGCCAAACAUUUGCUGGUGGACCAUCAGAUCUGUUUCCCUACCUGUCACGUGCUCUGGUAGGUGUAUUGCUGAAGCUGACCCUUACAGACGGUUUCCCGUUUUCCAUUGCCAACUGACUUCUGUCUGUACUCAGCCAAUGGCAGACACUGGUGAGACACUAGAAGGAAGCGGCCAAGGCAUUUCUCCUUCCCUCUCUGUUUCUGGCUGUGGCUUCAUUUCUUCCAGGUUUUCAACUUCUGGAAGACCACCCUUCCCUCUUGGGUCCCGGAGCCUGCUGGGCAGUCCCUGCCUUUUCUCAGUGGCUUCUGUGUUUGCCUUGCUCUCACACAUGGUCUUUCAGUGCUCCUGACAUCUUUGUAAUUGUUUUCCAUA